UGGGGAAUAUUGCACAAUGGAGGGAACUCUGAUGCAGCGACGCCGCGUGAACGAAGAAGGCUUUCGAGUCGUAAAGUUCUUUUAUAUGGGAAGAUAAUGACGGUACCAUAAGAAAAAGCCCCGGCUAACUACGUGCCAGCAGCCGCGGUAAUACGUAGGGGGCUAGCGUUGUCCGGAAUCACUGGGCGUAAAGGGUUCGCAGGCGGAAAUGCAAGUCAGGUGUAAAAGGCAGUAGCUUAACUACUGUAAGCAUUUGAAACUGCAUAUCUUGAGAAGAGUAGAGGUAAGUGGAAUUUUUAGUGUAGCGGUGAAAUGCGUAGAUAUUAAAAAGAAUACCGGUGGCGAAGGCGACUUACUGGGCUCAUUCUGACGCUGAGGAACGAAAGAGUGGGUAGCAAACAGG
rnacentral:rRNA from 2 species